ACAAAACAAAACAAAACAAAACAAACCUUCCUCUUCAGGAGAAAGACAACAGAAGCCAACAGAAAGCUUCUUCCUAAAGAACUGUCUAUGAAUAUCUUAGAGGUAGACAACUGAUUUAAGAAGACCAAGGGGAUGAUUCUUCUGACAGCCAUAACCACAAGAUUUCAGAUUUUGGGCUCCAGUAAAACAUCAAAUCUACAAAAAUCACAACAUGGCCAGCUUUCCCACUCUCUUCUGCUUAUUACUUUCCAGCUCUACAAAUAUGGGAGCCGGGUGAUGCUAACGAGGAAACAAAGGGACUGCGCUCUGCUUCACGUGGGAUCCGUCUGAUAUUCAUUUUCAACUUGAAGAAGUACAACUUCAAGAGAAGAUCUGUGAGAUACCUGUAAUCCCAGCACUUUGGGAGGCCAAGGCAGGUGAAUCACCUGAGAUCAGGAGUUCGAGACCAGCCUGGCCAACAUGGUGAAACCCCGCCUCUACUAAAAAUACAAAAAUUAGCCAGGUGUGGUGGCAUGCACCUGUAAUUGCAGCUACUCAGGAAGCUGAGGCAGGAGAAUCACGUGAACCCAGGAGGUGGAGGUUGCAGUGAGCCGAGAUUGCAGCACUGCACUCCAGGCCUGGGUGACAGAGUGAGAGUCUGUCACAAACAAACAAACAAACAAAAAAGAUGAUCUACGAUUAGUAAUCUUUCUAGGCUCUGCGUUUCUCAAAAGAAUUUACUUUUCUCAUUUACUUUAAUGACAGUUUGGUUAAAUUUAGAAUUCUAGGUUCUGAUAUUUUUCCCCUCAGAACUUUACACUUAUUACUCCAUUUUUUUUUCCUGCAUCCAGUGUUGCUGCUCAGAAGCUUCUUGUCUCUCAGCAUUUUUCUAAAGCCUUGAUUUCUCAAGGUUCAUUAUAAAGAAUUAAGGGUGCACAUAUGUGUACAUUUAUUUUUCAUUGCCUCUGUUGGCUCUUUCAAUAAGAGAUGCAAUGUAUUUUCAUUUCUGGGAAGUAAUGUUGCAUUAUUUGAGUAUUUCUUACUCUCUUUUAAAAAUAUUUCAUCAACUCAAAUUUUAAUUUCUAUAUUCUCUACUGGAUUCUUUUUUAUGAAGGUGUCUGUAUCUUAUAGUUCUCUGAGAUUA
rnacentral:lncRNA from 10 species